rnacentral:rRNA from 1 species
UACGUAGGGCGCAAGCGUUGUCCGGAAUUAUUGGGCGUAAAGAGCUCGUAGGCGGUUUGUCGCGUCUGGUGUGAAAACCUCAGGCUCAACCUGGGGCGUGCAUCGGGUACGGGCAGACUAGAGUGCGGUAGGGGAGACUGGAAUUCCGUGGGUGUAGCGGGUGGAAUGCGCAGAUAUCAGGAGGAACACCGAUGGCGAAGGCAGGUCUCUGGGCCAAUACUGACGCUCAUGCACGAAAAGCGUGGGGAGCAAACAGG